rnacentral:rRNA from 1 species
UACAGAGGGGGCAAGCGUUGUUCGGAAUUACUGGGCGUAAAGGGCGCGUAGGCGGCCUGCUAAGUCGAACGUGAAAUCCCCGGGCUCAACCCGGGAACUGCGUCCGAUACUGGCAGGCUUGAAUCCGGGAGAGGGAUGCAGAAUUCCAGGUGUAGCGGUGAAAUGCGUAGAUAUCUGGAGGAAUACCGGUGGCGAAGGCGGCAUCCUGGACCGGCAUUGACGCUGAACAGCGAAAGCUAGGGGAGCAAACGGG